GAUGAACGCUGGCGGCGUGCCUAAUACAUGCAAGUCGAGCGAGUGGAUUAAGAGCUUGCUCUUAUGAAGUUAGCGGCGGACGGGUGAGUAACACGUGGGUAACCUGCCCAUAAGACUGGGAUAACUCCGGGAAACCGGGGCUAAUACCGGAUAACAUUUUGAACCGCAUGGUUCGAAAUUGAAAGGCGGCUUCGGCUGUCACUUAUGGAUGGACCCGCGUCGCAUUAGCUAGUUGGUGAGGUAACGGCUCACCAAGGCAACGAUGCGUAGCCGACCUGAGAGGGUGAUGGGCCACACUGGGACUGAGACACGGCCCAGACUCCUACGGGAGGCAGCAGUAGGGAAUCUUCCGCAAUGGACGAAAGUCUGACGGAGCAACGCCGCGUGAGUGAUGAAGGCUUUCGGGUCGUAAAACUCUGUUGUUAGGGAAGAACAAGUGCUAGUUGAAUAAGCUGACACCUUGACGGUACCUCACCAGAAAGCCACGGCUAACUACGUGCCAGCCGCCGCGGUAA
rnacentral:rRNA from 1 species